ACAAAAUGAGAAGGCAAAUGUCACUGUAAAUCUCACUGCCUCUCAGCCACUCGGCUGCCAAAGGGCGGGCGGCCGGGCCAGCCGGGUCGGGGCCACGUUUCUAGGCGCGAGUGUGGUUAGCGCUCCCGGCGGCGAGCCCCUCGGGGACGGCGCACGUGUGUGGGAGCCCCGAUCACCCGGCAGCGGCCAGCUGACGCCACUCGCCGCGGCUCGGACACCGAACGCGCCAGUGGGAGCCGCGACCAGCCGGGACCGCAAACCCUCCGAUCGCGUGGCCAGACGUGGUGACAGAUCUGCAAGUUCAGUCAUUCCUGACUCAUCUCCUUUCGGAUCCUUUCAACCAGGGGAAGAUCAGGACUCUGAGAGAAUGUCACGUACAGCUAUGGUGACUAAUUUAUCAUCCAAACUGGGAUACUUUUUGAGUGACAAGGGGCAUCUGUGAGAAUUCCACCAGGACAGAAAAAGAUUUGGUCACUACCACGGCCAGCUAACUGAUAACAUCAAAUGAGCCCUAACUUCCUGACUCAGAGCCUUGGAAUGCAGUUGUGAAUCAUCACUUCUCUGUGUUGCUGCCUGAUUAUUGCAAUAGGAGGAAAAAUGAACAUGACCCGUGCAUAAGAAAAGACCUUAUCUGUGAUUCUUGAGGGUAGAACAGAUGAUACUUCUUUGAGCCCCAUCUUGGUACCUCCACAAAGCCAACAGUCCAGUCAUGAGGGAAUAAUGAUGCCCCCAUUUUGGACAGAAUGGAACAAAUGAUUCUUCACUUGGAUGGAAGUAAACACACAGGCACCUUCUUAAAGAGAUGGAGCAAAGAUAAACCUCGGAUGGUGGAGCCGUAAUUACAGUCUGCGUGUCCUGGUUUGGUACUAAAGACGGGGCUGGAUCAGCAGUGGAAAGUUUGGAUGACACUCCGACACCUGGAGUAGGAUGGCCCGGAGAGCAGCCACUCUGGGAGCUGCAUGUAUUCCUAGCCCUGAAGGAAAGGCAGCCUCCAAAUUGCUUCAGCUCCUCAUCUCCUAACCUGGAGGUGCCUCACUCCCUUCCCUCCUCCACACUCAAGCACUCUUUCUUGUUCCUAAGAGAAAGGCUUAGACGUGACUCAUUUUGUAGCCUUUCUGCUCUCAGGGCACCUUGAGGUCCCCUGGAAAUGAAAGGAUUGGAAGCAACCAGCUUACUUUUCCUCGAGUGCCCAAACACUAAGGGGAAAUCCACACUGGGGAGACACUCUCUCCGGCUUUGUCAGAUACAAAAGGACAGAGCAGUAAAUGCACCCCUUCUCCCCUCGCUGGGCCCCUACUGGGCUCAUUCUUGAGUGUUUGUCCCAUUCUUAGCAACAAAGCCAGUUUCUCCAAGGGUCAAAUCUUGUGGUUUUAUUUUCUGGCUUUGCUCCACUGUUUUCUGGGACGGCCCUAAUCCCUGGGCCUCAGCAUCCCCACCUUGUAAUUAAAUGGGUUACACUCAGCUGAUCAUAGAUGGGGAAGAUUGUGUACUUGCAGCCUUCCAGUGUGACUCCCUCAUUGUGCAGAUAAGGAGAUUGAGGCUCAGAGAAGGGAAGUGGCUUGGCAGGGGUCACCCAGGGGUUGUGUGUUAAGUUUCUGUGUGUCUUUUCUUAUUUUAAAAAAAUAUUUAUUUAUUGGUUGCACUGGGUCUUAGUUGGGGCACGUGGAAUCUAGUUGCCAGACCCCUGGAUUGGGAGCAUGGAGUCCUAGCCACUGGACCACAGGGAAGUCCAGUUUCUGUGUAUCUUUGUCCUGUCUCCUCAGUAACUCCAUGGCAGGGGCUAUGUUUUGCCUGCUUUUUGAGUCCCUUCAGGGACCCAGGUCCAGAGUAGGGUUUGUAGACACUGGCUGAUUUGGGAGGACUGAUGGAUGGAACACCAGACUGGUUGGAGAAAAGUUGUCAAGAGUGAGCAAGGCUGUGAAGCUGGCCUAUGGAGGCAAGCGUGGUGGGGGCUUCGGGGAGCCGCUCACCAGCUAGGUGAUGGUGGACAAGUUUCUUGACUUUUCUAAACCUCUGUUUUUUCAACUAUGAAAUGCAGAUAAUACUUCUUACACCACGUGGUUGGAAGAGUUAAUAAGAUUUAAUAAGCCUGAUACACUCAAUUGUCCUUGUUUAGUCACACUCAGUUGUUGUGGUUUAUUGCUAAGCCAGGGGCUUCCCAGGCGAUGCUAGUGGUAAAGAACCUGCCUGCCAAUGCAAGAGAUGUAAGAGAUGCAGGUUUGAUCCCUGGGUCAGGAAGAUGCCCUGGAGAAGGAAAUGGCAACCCACUCCAGUAUUCUAGCCUGGAGAAUCCCAUGGACAGAGCAGGCUGGUGGGCUACAGUCCAUGGGGUCACAAAGUAACUGAAGAGACUUAGCACAAAUGUGUCGCUAAGCUAUGUUGACUCUCUGUGACCCAGUGGACUGUAGUCUGCCAGGCUCCUCUGUCCGUGGGAUUCUCCAGGCAAGAAUACUGGAGUGGGUUGCCAUUUCCACCUUCAGGGGAUCUUCCUGACCCAAGGAUUGAACCUGUGUCUCCUGCAACGGCAGGCAGAUUCUUUAUCCCGGAGCCACCAGGGAAGCGGAGAAAUGGAAUAAUUCCUGCUAAAUCAGUACAUGAAGUAUGUAACAGUCAUCAGCAAUUGCAGCCACCAUGGAAGGUGAGCUGGUGAGCCCAGAAGGAACUCAGAAAGGAAAGAAUACCCGCCAUCUAGCAGUCAUCAGACUGCAGCCACAGAGAGCCCCAAGGAAGCUUGGGAUUCUGGCCCCAGAUAACUAAGGCACAUUUCAAAAGAAUGAGUUCAAUGAACCCAGACUCUUGCAUCUUCCCAUACAUAGAAAAGCACUCAAUUCCUUAACUCGGGUUAUCUGGUUUUCUUUAACUAGCAAUAAUCUUUUGAUGUUCAGAUUACCUGCCCUUUGUUGCGAAACUUCUAUAUAACUUGGCUCCCCCUCGCCUUCCCCCCUCCAACUCAUUUCCUUCAGCAGUUCUCUCAGGGUUACUUGAGAUGCUGUCUCCUGGGCUUAAGUCAUAAAAAUUCCUACUGAAUAAACAUAACUCUCAACUUUUA